GCACGCAUGCAGACGCACGAAUGCAUACUGGCGCUCUCUCCUCCCGAUUCUCUCCGCCCUAUGCCUCAGCACCUUUCGCUAUCCGACGCACAGAUGCCAGGCAUUCAAGCUCCCAUCUGCCUGCAUUUCUUUUAGCGCGUGGUUCUCUGUGUCUGUCGGUGGCGUCACCCCCGCCCACAUUCAGCACACCCUGCGCGGCCGCCAUUCUGCUUUUCGCUCCUCUCGGCCGCCAGCGAUCGUUGUUACAAGGAUGCUGGAGGCUCCAACGCAUCCCUACACCGAUACAGCACCCCGCCACAAAAACUGCAUCCGGAGCAAUCUGCCACACUCCUUCCGCAACACCUUACCACGAUGUCCUACAAGGAGGCCGCUCCCAAGCGCGAGAAGGACGCCGCGGGUGCAGCAGCGGUGCCUGAGGCGGCCGCCGCGGGAAAUGACGGCAAGUACAUCCACCCCGAGGCAGCGUCCCUGUUCGCCAGGUGCCCGUGGGUUCGCCGCGUCCCCGUGUUUGGCGAGGCUGUCGAGGGCUACGGGCCCAAGGUCAUCGUCGCCCUCGGCGCUAGCAACCUGCUCUGCAAGGGCGUCGCGGAUCAGAUUCUAUAUGGUCAGACGUACGCCAUGAUGAUUGAUCGCUACGGCAUCGACGUGGCCCGCUACCAGCGCCUGUCUUCGAUUUCGACCAUGGGGUGGUCCAUCAAGGCCUUCACAGCGAUGCUCUGCGACGGCUUCGCCUUCCUCGGCUACACGAAGCGCUGGUACAUGUUCAUCUCCUGCGUCGGCGGUGGCGCGUUCGCGCUGAUCUACGGCCUCCUUCCGGCGAAGGAGGCGUCGGCCAACGUCGCGUGUGCCUUCAUCUUCCUGUCGAGCUGGGGCAAGGCCAACGUGGAUAUCCUGUCUCAGGGCCAUUACAGUCGACUGAUGCGCCAGAACCCGAAGCCUGGGCCGUCCAUGGUGAGCUGGAUCUGGUUCUGGAUCAUGACCGGCUCACUCAUCGCGACUGUGAUGAACGGCCCGCUCGCGGAUGCCGGGAAGCCGCAGAUCAGCAUCUUCGUGUCUGCCGCGCUGCAGGCCAUCACCUGCGUCUUCUACCUGUUCAACUGGUACGGGGAGAAGAAGAACCGCGUGCUGCGUUCCGAGGACGCGCUGUUUAUUCUGGAGGAGACGCGCAAGGAGCGUGAGCGCCUGGGCCUCGAGGGGGUGAACAACGGCACGGCGGGUGCGCAGCAUGGUGGUGCGGCGAAGGGGAAGAGGAGCCCGCAGCGCUCGCACUCGGAUGAAGGCGUGGAGGGUGCCGUACGGGAUGCCCUCAACGAUGGUCAGCGCGACAACGGUGAACUUGUGCAGGACGUCUACGACGACGCGUAUGACGACGGCGAAGAGGUGGCCGAGGGCGAGGUGUACUACGGCAAGCCGCCGGUGCCGUGCCUGUUCGGGCUGUUCGAAAUGAACAGGGAAGUGAUUUCGAAGAACUGGAAGAUCUUCGUGUACAGCGUUGUCAUGACCUGUGCUGUGAUCGCGAUGCUGUGUGCCAACAUCCUGGCCGACACGCUGGGCCUCCUGGUUGCGUGCGUCGUUGUGUCGACCAUCUGCUGCGCCACGUCCUUCUGGGCCCUGCCGCUGGUGAUUGCGAAGGCCAACGUGUUUGCAUACCUGGAUAAGGCUGUUUCCAUCCGUGUGAGCGGUCCCCUAAACGCGUUCUACUUGAACACCUACGGCUGCCCCGGCAACCUGCCCAACUUCACCUACACCUUCUACAACACGGUGGCUGGCGUCAUCAGCAGUGCUGUUGGUAUGAUUACCGUGACGCUGUUCAACUUCCUGUUCGCGAAGCAUGGCUACCGCCUCACCUUCAUUGUGACGACAAUCAUGCAGGUUAUGGGUGGUGUGUUCGACAUCAUCAUGGUGAAGCGCUGGAACCUGUACAUCGGCAUCCCUGACCACGCCAUGUACAUCUGGGGCUAUACUGUUGUGGGUGAGCUCGUGUACAUGCUCGCCCUUAUGCCGCCUGUGGUGCUGCUGUCUCGCCUGUGCCCUCGUGGCUCGGAGAGUGUCGUGUAUGCGCUGAUGGCGGGCUUCGCGAGCCUUGGCCAGACCACCGCGGCGUCUCUCGGUGCCAUCCUUCUGGAGUACGGCCUGCCUGUGUUCAAGACGCAGGAUGACGGGUCUCGCUGCAACUACGACAACCUGCCGCUGCUGCUGUUCCUGUGCAGCAUGUGUACGCCGCUGCUGGCGAUUCCGCUGAGCAUAAUACUGCUUCCGAAGGCGCGCAUCUGCGACGAUAUCGACAUUGACGGCAAGGUGGUGCGUCAGGCCGUGGAUAAGCAGGUCGCAGCUGCUCCGCUGCCGAGCUCCGACUCGGACGCGGUGAUGAAUGCCGAACCGCUUCAUGGGAACAAGGCGGAUGAGCGCGAGGCAGCGCGCGGGGAGGCGGUGCAGGGCAACGCGUGAAGCAGAAGCCGUGCGCAGGUAGCGGGGGCGGCGCAUGUGCUGUAACCCGUGUGUUCACGGCUGCCUCGCAGCACGUGAUUGCGUCUGUGGCAGGGCGGUGCGUUGUGGUGAGGGGCCGGGAGAGGGCUCGAGUGAACUCGUGUUGUAUGACGGAGAAGCGAACACUCAUUAGGUGAGAGGGGAAGUGUUGUGUCAGAUGCGGUUUGUACUGUUUACGUUGGAUCGUCGCUCCACUCUGCUCGGUGGUGACUAAUGUGUUCCUGCGCGAGGCCCCUUAUUCGGUAUUUCGUCGAGCUGGUUGACUGACGGCGAGCGAAGAAGGGGACUCUAUGCUGGUGAUGCGGUAAAAGGGGAAGGGCACCCUGUGGGGUCUUUGAUGCUCAUCCUCAUUUUCUUUGGCGGACAUUCUCGGUGUCGCCCUUUCUCCUUCGGUUUAUAUUUCUAACGAAGGCAAAGUCGAAACCAAGCGGUCUCUUCCCGGCACAAGAAGAGCCCGUUGCACGCCAGCCGAUCGUUGCGGUUCAUGUGCCGUGCCACUUUCGCACCGGAUAAGUCUGCACCAUAGGUGUGCUUGAGCCUUGUGCGUGCUGAGUGCACGUACGGACGAGUUCUUGAGGCCAUUUUUGUGCCUUUGUUUGUUGUAUCAUCGAUCUCUUUUUUUUUUUUCACUUUUCGUGCUCUCACAUCUCCAUCAUGGAUGCCCCUCUCUCUUCGUUCUUGUGCGUGUGUGCGUGUCGCGUCUCAGUUAGCUCGUUACUGUGGACCCUCGCGGGCAAUGCGAUCUCUUCCUCGCUGAGUGUUUGAUGUGUGGCCUGUGAGCCUGCAUUGUCUGCGCAGGUAGCCGGUCUGCGCACCACCGCCGCCACGACCUCUCCUUUGGAGCGUUGCUGUCCUUUUCCGCUCCUGCUGUCUGUGUGUGCGUGUGUGUGUGUGUGUGUGUGUGUGUGUGUGUGUGUAAGCAUGUGAUGUCGUGAUGUUGCAAGCAGGAAGUGGUGCAUAGGUGGAGAGGACGAAGGGACGGGAGCGAGAGAGAGAGACAGAGAAGGACCUAAGCGCAUCGCUCCUCCGCUGUUAUUCUGUUCUUCGGAUGCCCCUCUCUCCUUUUCUUCCUCCUUCUCUGUCCUCUUCUUCUACCGAUCUCCUUCGGUCGCUCGAUCUGCUUUUCUGGGCCGCUCCCUCUCACGCAAAACGUGCUGGAUGUGUGCCGAUGCCGAGGCCAACACGGACACGGGGGGCAUCAUCAUUAUAUACAAUUCCGUUUCCGAAAAGU
rnacentral:misc_RNA from 1 species